rnacentral:rRNA from 1 species
CACAGGUGCUGCAUGGCUGUCGUCAGCUCGUGUCGUGAGAUGUUGGGUUAAGUCCCGCAACGAGCGCAACCCUUGUCUCUAGUUGCUACGAAAGGGCACUCUAGAGAGACUGCCGGUGACAAACCGGAGGAAGGUGGGGAUGACGUCAAGUCCUCAUGGCCCUUAUGGGUAGGGCUUCACACGUCAUACAAUGGUGCAUACAGAGGGUUGCCAAGCCGCGAGGGGGAGCCAAUCCCAAAAAAUGCAUCGUAGUCCGGAUCGUAGUCUGCAACUCGACUACGUGAAGCUGGAAUCGCUAGU